rnacentral:lncRNA from 1 species
AUUUCUCCUUUAAUAUAUUAUUCUCAUAAUAUAUUUAUAAAUCAUAAUUAAUCCUCUCUCUCCAUAAUUCAUCCUAUCAAGUUGCUUUGGUGAAGGCAACCCAAAAGGACCAUGCACAAUUGGGUCAAGUACAUACCAAAAUAGUUAUGGACUUAGACACUAAUCCAAUAGGAUCAUCUAUGCUAACAUUAUUAGUUUAGGGAUUCCUCCAUGAUACUUGUCAGUAAGUAUUAUUUAAUAUCUUUUCCUAAGGAUUUGUCCUAAGUAAUAGGCGCAAAGUCCGUCGCUGCUAGGGUUUCUCUGAUAGGAACUAAGUCCAUAGUUGGUAGUGUUUAUCUAUUAGGCACUAAGUCCAUAGUUGUCAAUGUUUAUCUAAUAUGCACUAAGUCGAGUACAUCUGAAGAACACACGGUUCACAGAUACCUAUAGGUUGCGAGCCUGCUAGCUUUUCAUUGGACUAUCUAGAAUAGUGUAACAGCCCAAAAUCUCAAGUAUUGAUUAAGUUGCAUUUUGGGGGUGUUUUAAAGGAGAGACUCGACGAGUUGGAGCCAGACUCGCCAAGUAGGGUCGCAGGUUUGGUCGCGGGUUCACGACUGGACUCGACGAGUCCAGAUAUGGACUCGGCGAGUCGACGCUGUUCAGCGGAAACCCUAGCCGUUCAGUAUUGGGUCGUAUAUAAGGGUUAUUAUGCCGUCAUUUCACGAUUUUGGAUCGAUUGGGAAGAACCCUAGGCGACUGGGGCGGCUAGAGCAAGCUUGAAGGCCAUUGGUGACCUUGAAGGAAUUGUUGUGCAAGGAGGAGAAGGGUUUUAGCUAAAGGAACUGCAGGGAGUUCGAGUUCUGAAGUUUGGGGACAUGGAAGGUACAUCAUUCAGGUAAUAAUUCGGAUUACAUUCUCCUGUGAUUGAUGUGUAUAUAGAUUUAGGGUUUAUGGAACCCAUUUGGAGUCUAGAUGGAUUGUUGUGUUGUUAUUCAACGUUUAUAACCUUGUAUUAGGACCCUUAGAGGUCCAGAAGGUCCCAUGUUUGUAUAUUCGAGAAUAUAUGUAUCUCAGGAAGCAGUUCGAUCGACUGCAUGGCGUAGACUCGCCGAGUCGGAUGAUCAGACUCGGCGAGUAGCUUGAAGAUUUACUGGGACUCGCCGAGUUUGUUCUUCAGGCUCGGCGAGUAGAGUCGGGGUGGCCCCGCGAUUCUUCCACGAGGACCUCGUCGAGUCAAGAGGGAUACUCGACGAGUAGAAAGGGAUCAUGCAGGAAUUGGUGAGGACGACUAGACUCGCCGAGUCGCCAGGGUACUCGCCGAGUCCAGUCGAGAUGGCCGUUGACCAGAGUUGACCUGUGUGUAACGUUUUAGGGUCAGUUAACGUGGAAGAUAGAAGUAUUAAAAAGAGAUAUAUGAUGAGACAGGGAGCUUGUAGCUCGGAGGAUCAAGUGCAAGAGAUUUCAGGAGUUGCUAUCUUCCAGUGUCCGCGAGGUGAGUCUUCUCACUAUACUGUACCCGGAAGGGUUUGACUGUGUGACCGGAAGGUCGGAUAUGAUAUGUGAUAUGUAUGCUAUAUGUGGUAAGUUAUUUGUUAUAUGUGCUAUGUAUGUUAUGGGCCGGAAGGCGAUUAUAUUAUGGGCCGGAAGGCAAUAUGUUAUGGGCCGGAAGGCGAUAUGAUGUGUGAUGGACCGGAAGGUCGGCGUGGGUAAGGCCGGAAGGUUUACCCAGCAGGGACGGAAGUCCCCUGAGACACAUGGACCGGAAGGUCGGGCCUGGAAAGGCGUAUGUGCGUAAGUUGUAUAUUGGGGAACUCACUAAGCUUCGUGCUUACAGUAUUUAUGUUAUGUUGUUUCAGGUUCUUUCAGUAACGCGGAAUGGCAUCGGCUCGAUUGUACACACCGAGGAAAGAGUUGUAUUUUGGAGGAUCCUGGUUGUCUAUUCAAAUGAAAAUGGAACUAUGUUUUGUAAUUCGAAUAUGAAUAAGAUUUUAAACAAGUGUUUUAAUAUUAAAUUGAUUAUUUAAAUGAAAAAUUUUGCUUUGAAAAUCACGGUGUUACAAUUGGUAUCAGAGCCUUGGUUUGAGGGAUUCGGACGCGCCUACGGGUGAGUCUGGACUCAAACUGAGGAAUUAAGAAAAGGUUUUCAAAUAAAUAGUUUUCUAAAAGUGAAUAAGAGUUCAAAGAGAAAGCAAGAAAGAGCAGUGUGUACAAUCAGCCAGAGCCAAACGGUGAUUUCCCAAAAUACCCUUACUUUUGUAUUAUGAAAUAUCUAUUAUGCACUUUAUGAGACAUUAUUGCAUGCUAGAGACAGGCUAGGUAUUUCACAUCUUAGGACUAGAGUGGCCUGAUUUGUGAUGCCUUAGUCUAGGGUUUGCUGUUAUAUGUGCGUUAUGCUUUUGUGUGUAUGUGAUGAGUGAGAGUAUCUAGUUAGAACGCACAAGGGGUAAAGCUACGGGGUACAGAGGUACUUCCGAGGAUGAGCCGAGAAGGUGGAGCUACCACAGAUGGGGAGUCCUAUGUAUGCUUCAAUGCUCGAAUGCUGCUUGCUUUGUGCUUUGUGGAGUUAUCGAUGAUGGGAGUCAGCUACUAAGUGAGUAUGACGAUACUCAGGAGGUAGAGGGCUGGCAUCAUUAGGAACUCUUCAGCAGCUGAUAGCAAAGAAGUGGGAGGACAGCGGAAGGGACUAGGGAGUAAACCUAGCCAGAUGAGUGCGCUGGUAGAGUAGAGGAUUUCGCUGGAAAGCGAGCACGCGCGAUGAGAUGGGUGAAAGAGCAGGUUUAUCAGCUACUUAGGAACUCUGGGAUGGUCCGUGUGGAAAGUAUGGGUAGAUGUGGCAGGUAGUAUGGGCCCGUACUACUGAAAGCAGAGGACCCAUACUUGAUACAGGGGGCAUUCUGAAGGUCCUAAGGAACAGAUUGAGGGGUGAUGUUAUGGUUCGGAUACCAUACAUCGGAGCGGAUACAGAGUGAUGUUAUGGUCCGGGCACCAUACAUCGGAACAGAUUGAGAUAGAUGUUGUGGUCCGAGUGCUAUACAUUGGAGCAGAUUGAGGAGUGGUGCUAUGGUUCAGGUACCAUACACCGAAGCAUGUUGAGGAGGGAUGUCAUGGGAUGAGUACCAUGGUUCGUAGUGGAUGAUGCUUGUGGCUAUCUUGUUAUCCGGUUAUCGAUCGGACGAGCACGAGCGAGCGGGAUGCGAGGAUUCGCGAGAUCCUGCGUGAUGAGGUUGCUGCAUUGUUGCGGGCUGAGUCGCCAGAAUUGUUUGGGUCGAUCAGGACCACUAUGAUUGAAGUAGUUUGAUGAGCGAUAUGCGGCUUUCGCAGAGACGGCUGCCGCGGCGGUUACAGCGGCUGUAGCAACGGCAAAGAAAGGGGCUAGUCGGGGUUUUCAGUAUCGGGACUUCUAUUAUGCGAAGCCUCCCACAUUCGAUGGAGUUCAGGACUCGAUUGUUGCUAUGAGAUGGUUAUCAGACAUGGAGGGGUGUUUCUCCACGAGUUUAUGCCCUGCUGAUCAGAGGGUGGGGUGUGCUCUGAACCUGUUGAGGCUCGGGGCGAAGGAUUGGUGGAGAUUGACCACGAGGUCAUUUUCCGAUGCGCAGAGGGCUGCGGUUUCAUGGGAUCAAUUCAGAGGGAUGUUCAGUACUCGCUAUGUUCCGCGGGAUGAAAAGGAGAAAUUGGCUCGGAAGUUCCUUAAGCUGAAGCAGGAUUUGGAGUCGGUGACUGAGAGCACCGGGAUGUUUAUUGAGAGGGCGAUGUUUUGCCCUGAGUUCGCUUCGGAGCAGGCUCAGAUGUCCCGAUAUCCGAGUAUGCUCAAGGGGGGGGAUCAGACAGUUCGUGUCUGCGCAGAGGCGCGAGACCGUGUUGGUAUCGCAGGAGGCCGCCAUGUGGCGUGAGUUAGAGGUUGAGUUGCAGUUGCGUGAGAUGAGGCAGGCCCCGAUGCAGUCGCAGUCGGCGCCGAAACGGUCCAUGACCGUAGACGUUAGAAUGGGGGAUCGGAGCGGUCACACUUGUGGGAAGUGUGAGAGAGAUGGCACCGGAGCUUGUUGGCCCAGUGGUGCAUGCCGCAAGUGCGGAAAGGAGGGGCAUGGUGCACGGGAUUGUCGGCAGUCAGUGCCAAUUCGGGAUUUCAGGAUUUGUUAUCAGUGUCGGCAGGUUGGACAUUUGAGGGUCAACCGUCCACAGUUUCCUGCAGGACCGGUGCAGGCUCUAGCAUCGGCCACCUUGAGGAGUUCAGGAGGAGGACAGGAUGGAGCAGAGCCCAAGGGCUCAGGGUCGUGCUUAUCGGCUUGCGGCAGAGGGAGACGGAGCAGUGCCGGAGGCAGCUGCGGGUAUGAUGCUCUCUUGAUGUCUUGAGUAGCUUGCGUUGAUUGUGGCGUAUUGUUUGUGCUGGUGUCUGGUGUGGAUUUCGAUGCGGUAUUCGUUGUUUCGCGGGUUUGGCAUGGUUAUGGAUUGGUGCUUCAGGUUUUCGCUUGGCAUUCGUUGUUCCCUGAUGGUUUAGUAUGAUUAUAGUUUGGUGUUUUGGUACCGGUAGCCUUGUGCGGUUUUCGAUGCGAUAUUCAACCUUUGGCAGGUUGUGGGUUUGGUUAUGGGUUAUUGCUUGGGAAUUCCGUUGGUCAUCGUUCGUGAGGGUUGAUAGUGGAGAUGCGGCACUGGGUUGAAUGACGGGUAGCAUCUGCAGUUGUGGAGUGGAUAAUUGAAAGAUCGGAUUCUUUUGAGCGGAUUGAUCAGGGAGGAGAUGUGUUUUGCUGAGGGUUGCUUACGCUUGUGGGAAGCAGUCAGUGGGUAAAUGUUCUCUUUGUGCAGGAUGGUUCUGAAAGGUCGUUAAUGACGAUCGGUGGCAGUUAGUCAGUGCUUUAGUGGGGGAGAAUUGUAAAAUUCUCCGGGAGAUCGAUGAGUAUGUAAGGGUGCUUAGCUGUUGGGAUUCAGCAGUGUUUGUCAGCGCAAAGUAUAGGCCGACGAGAGCGAGUGUUGGGUAUGCGGGGCGAGAUACAGACCUAGGGCAUUUGAUUGUGGAGGCCUGAGAGGAGGUCGGGAUCAAGCUUGAGUAAGUAAUCGGAAUUUUGCGAUCAGAGUAUUGGUACGUUUGAGGUACGUGAUGGGUUGUACUGCAUUAAUCCCACGGGAUUAUGUUGUGCAUGUUUCUAGAGCUGGAACCGGAAGGUUCCCAGAGUUAGAACCUGAGGGUUCGCAGAGUUUGGGUGUACGGACCCACAGAGAUAUAGCCUCGAGUGGCUAGUAUGUGUUAUGAGAGUCGGUCCAGUCAUACUGGAGACUCUGUUGGUAUUGCUGGAUUAGUUUGAGAUUUGCGGAUCGCGUAUGUUGCAGUGUGAUUGCAUUGGAAGGUCUGGCCCCGGGUUAUUGAUCUUGUUUAGCGGAGGCAGUGAUUUUGAUGAGUGGAGAGAGUGCAUGGGAUUGAGAGCCCCUGCAAUGAGAACCAGAGUAUGUGAAUAGCAGUUACGCAAAAAGGGUGGUGUCGCUUGGGGCGAGCACCGUGGCACCGGUUGGAGUGGCAUUAUGUUCAAGAGAGUUCCGUGGAAAAGGAAAAGAGGAGGGUAUGUAACUCCGAAGGGGGUGCAAGUUCACGAAAGUGAAAGCUGCAGAGCAGAGUUAUGGUUAGAGUAUUUCGAGUAUGGUUUUGAGCAUCGUGUUCGCGGCAGUGGAGUAGGAACCCAUCCGGUUGGGAUGUCUGUUGAGGCUCAGAAGGGAUGCAUGGAGAGAGAAAAUUUUAAAUUCUCAGUGUGAAUCUGAUCAGAGUGUAGGGUGGAUGUAGUGGUUCAUCUUGGGAGAUGUUCGAGGAUAUCAUCAGUGUAUCGGGUCUUUCAACCUGCGGGUGUUGGGACUAGUUCAGUAGGUGUAUGUGAUGGCAAGAGGGAACUUGUGAGAGUUGAUCUGAGAGGGAGGACGGAUCUCUCAGUCGGUCCGGAAUGGGCAAAGUGGGCUUUGGAUCGGGGAUCCGGUGGUUCAGGGUUUCCUAACCCUUAUGGGUUGAGUGAUCGUUGAGAUUUGGAGCAGAGUGCAUCUUGGGUAAUUUCCGAUUACAGAGAGUGAUGAGCAGUUCAGAGUUCGUACUUUAGUUGACAAAGCAGACUCAGCAGGUUAAAGAGAGUUAGUGAUCGUCUAGAGUUAACAGGAAAGUUAUGCAGGCAGACGCCGUUACGAGCAUGUGAUUCAGGUCAGCGACUUCGUAUUUCUGACGGGGUGCUUCGAUUUAGGAAGAGGGGUAAAUGGGGGGCCCCGGUAUGUUGGGUCUUUUCGUGAAGGUGCGAAGGUAGGAAGGGUGGCCUAUCGUUUGGAGCUGUCAACGGAAUUGGGACGGAUCCAUGACACUGGUAUGUGUCGCAGUUGAAGAGGUGUAUAGCGGAUGAGUCAGCAGUGGUUCUACUAGAGAACGAUUAGGUGGAUGCGAGCCUGUGUUACGUCGAGAGGCCAGUGGCCGUCGGAGAUCGGAAGAUCAAGGUUCUGAGGAACAAGGAGGUACCUCUGGUAUUGGUUCAGUAGCGGCCUCGGAAGAGAUCGGUGGUGUCUAGGGAAGCCGAAACGUGAGAUGCGGGAGCAGCAGCCAGAGCUAUUUUCAGAGUGAGACUUCGAGGGCGAAGUCUAAUUCUAGUGGGGGAGAAUUGUAACAGCCCAAAAUCUCAAGUAUUGUUAAGUUGCAUUUUGGGGGUGUUUUAAAGGGGAGACUCGACGAGUUGGAGCCAGACUCGCCGAGUAGGGUCGCAGGUUUGGUCGCGGGUUCACGACUGGACUCGACGAGUCCAGAUAUGGACUCGGCGAGUCGACGCUGUUCAGCGGAAACCCUAGCCGUUCAGUAUUGGGUCGUAUAUAAGGGUUAUUAUGCCGUCAUUUCACGACUUUUGAUCGAUUGGGAAGAACCCUAGGCGACUGGGGCGGCUAGAGCAAGCUUGAAGGCCAUUGGUGACCUUGAAGGAAUUGUUGUGCAAGGAGGAGAAGGGUUUUAGCUAAAGGAACUGCAGGGAGUUCGAGUUCUGAAGUUUGGGGACAUGGAAGGUACAUCAUUCAGGUAAUAAUUCGGAUUACAUUCUCCUGUGAUUGAUGUGUAUAUAGAUUUAGGGUUUAUGGAACCCAUUUGGAGUCUAGAUGGAUUGUUGUGUUGUUAUUCAACGUUUAUAACCUUGUAUUAGGACCCUUAGAGGUCCAGAAGGUCCCAUGUUUGUAUAUUCGAGAAUAUAUGUAUCUCAGGAAGCAGUUCGAUCGACUGCAUGGCGUGGACUCGCCGAGUCGGAUGAUCAGACUCGGCGAGUAGCUUGAAGAUUCACUGGGACUCGCCGAGUUUGUUCUUCAGACUCGGCGAGUAGAGUCGGGGUGGCCCCGCGAUUCUUCCAUGAGGACCUCGUCGAGUCAAGAGGGAUACUCGACGAGUAGAAAGGGAUCAUGCAGGAAUUGGUGAGGACGACUAGACUCGCCGAGUCGCCAGGGUACUCGCCGAGUCCAGUCGAGAUGACCAUUGACCCGAGUUGACCUGUGUGUAACGUUUUAGGGUCAGUUAACGUGGAAGAUAGAAGUAUUAAAAAGAGAUAUAUGAUGAGACAGGGAGCUUGUAGCUCGGAGGAUCAAGUGCAAGAGAUUUCAGGAGUUGCUAUCUUCCAGUGUCCGCGAGGUGAGUCUUCUCACUAUACUGUACCCGGAAGGGUUUGACUGUGUGACCGGAAGGUCGGAUAUGUUAUGUGAUAUGUAUGCUAUAUGUGGUAAGUUAAUUGUUAUGUGUGCUAUGUAUGAUAUGUGGGCCGGAAGGCAAUAUGUUACGGGCCAGAAGGCGAUUAUGUUAUGAGGAUCGGAAGGUCAGGGCCUGGAAAGGCGUAUGUGCGUAAGGUAUAUUGGGGAACUCACUAAGCUUCGUGCUUACGUUGUUUAUGUUAUGUUGUUUCAGGUUCUUACAGUAACGUGGGAUGGCAACGGUUCGAUUGUACACACCGAAGAAAGAGUUGUGUUUUGGAGGAUCCUGGUCUUCUAUUAUAACGAAAAUGUAACUAUGUUUUGUAAUUCGAAUGUGAAUAAGAUUUUAAAACAAGUGUUUUAAUAUUAAAUUGAUUAUUUAAAUGAAAAUUUUGUUUUUUUGGAAAUCACGGUGUUACAA